rnacentral:rRNA from 1 species
GAAUCUUGCACAAUGGGGGAAACCCUGAUGCAGCGACGCCGCGUGAGCGAUGAAGCCCUUCGGGGUGUAAAGCUCUUUCGACGGGAACGAUAAUGACGGUACCCGGAGAAGAAGCUGCGGCUAACUACGUGCCAGCAGCCGCGGUAAUACGUAGGCAGCGAGCGUUGUUCGGAGUUACUGGGCGUAAAGAGUAUGUAGGCGGUUGCGCAAGUUCGGUGUGAAAUCUCCCGGCUUAACUGGGAGGGUGCGCCGAAGACUGCGUGGCUAGAGUGCGGGAGAGGAGAGCGGAAUUCCUGGUGUAGCGGUGAAAUGCGUAGAUAUCAGGAGGAACACCGGUGGUGUAGACGGCUCUCUGGACCGCAACUGACGCUGAGAUACGAAAGCGUGGGGAGCAAA